rfam:Sinorhizobium meliloti 1021 plasmid pSymB
CACGUCAGUAGAAGCGGUCAGCCGCGUUAGUAUCUCACGAUACAACAUCCGGUCGGGAAUUGCUGACAUG